rnacentral:tRNA from 1 species
GCGCUGCUUGUUCAGCCGCUUCCAUACCACGUGGUUUUUCGUCUGUCGAGGGUUCGAAUCCACGGCUGGCU